GGUGGGUUGGCUCAGGGUUGAGCGUAGGUCUCGUAACCGAAAGGUCGCGGGAUCGAAUCCCGCUAGAGGCUG
rnacentral:tRNA from 1 species